CGUUCUGGUAACAUCGGUACCACAUAGUAUCCCGGGAGGUAAAUUGAGCUUGUUUUAUGACGGGCUUCAAUGUCAAGUUCACUGUUGCGCUGCACAUAGUAAGCCACAUCAGCAAUGGCAACAUACAAAACAAAACCUUUGUCGGUGCGCUUGACGUAAAUCGCAUCAUCCAAGUCCUUGGAAGUGGCGGGGUCAAUCGUGACAAAGGCAAGUUCGGUUAAGUCCUUGCGGUAGGGCUUACUCUGCUCUUUUUCAUCAAACUGUAACUUCGCUGCUUGUUGUUCGACCACAUCAUUAUCUUCAAAGACAAUCGAGUGGUCUAACAUAAUCGCCUUGAGGUUAAUUAACGGUUCAUCGUUAUUCCCCAAGAUUUGCUGAAUGGAGACUUUACACAGGUUAUUUGCAGGAUCAUACUCAUCAAUUUGAAAAGCGACCUUAGUAUUGCUCUCCAGUUCAGCUGGAACUGAGGCCUUAUUGACAAUCGGGGUGAGGUAAAAACGAGGAUUGUCAGCAACAAUGCGAAACUCCUGACCAAAAUCGGAGUACUCAAUCAAAAAGUUACCAGCGUACAGCACCCGGGAGCGCUUCACAAUUUUGAGCACUGCAGCAUCAAACUUAUCACCUACCUGUGGUUUGUCGAGCGGACAGAAUUCAACUAGAUCACCAUCCAGUGCUCCCGCUAGGUUGGAAAAAUGGAUAUAGUACACCGUUUUGUCAUCAUCUAAGGGACGGACAAAACCAGUGUUCUUGUUACCUAAAUUGAGAAUGCCCUGAAACUUUUGAUCCAAUACCGGAUCAGCUAGUUCAUAGUUAAUUAACAGCUGGUUUGUAGCACCACCCGACUUGCGAAAAAUGUGUCAUUCUAACAAGUCAUCAAUUGCUCUGUAUACCUGUUGCUUUCCCGGAAAACCAGCUUGAUUCUCCAUCAUCCUGACAACUAUUCCCGGAGGAAUAGGUUUGCCGUUCUCUUUUUUCACAAUCGCGAAGAUUCGCUUUUGUAAAUCAGUUAAUACUUUCAUCUGUUAGAUUUUAAAGCGCAAAAUGAAAAACUAACCCUAAAAUAAGAAAAAGCACUACUAAAAUAAACAUCGUAAUUUGGAGAAUUUUGACAAUUCCGCGGUCUUUGGUUUUGCGAAAAAUUUCCAAAUCUUGACCUGAAAGCGAAGCAAGUCCGCCAGUAGAACCAUGGUUGGAUAGCAAUAAACCGAUGAUUAAACAAAGGAUUGCCAUUACAAACAUUACUAUUUGAAUUGCGUCCAUGCUUUAAUGUGUGUUAAUUUUAAACUAAUGCUUUAAUUUUGGUUUAGUUUUUUUAACUUAGCGUUGAGGUGUUGAAUUCCCGAACGGGUAAUUUGCACUUUGUAUUUCCUUUCAAAAAACUGGGCAAUUUGUUCCAAUGACCAGUCAGGAUGGUCUAGUUUGACUAAACAAAAGCGCUGAAAGUUGAGCGAUUGCUUUUUAAAGUCAGCACUGUUUAUGAGGAUUUUUAGCUGUUCCGCUGUGCUUGUGCUGGUCUUUAAAGUGCGCAUUAGGUUAGCAAUUUCUAAGUUACUUUUACGCACUUGUUCUAAGGCAAAAUUUUUUUGCAAUUGGUUUUCUUCAAAGGCUAGAUAACCAUCAAAAGCUUCGACUAGUUUAAAGAAGUCACAAAUGGCCUGAUAGCUUUUAACAUAGACCAAAAGCUGGUGGCGCUUAGUGGUUUGUUUAAAAGGAUGAAACAGCUUCAUUAACUGUUUUAUUUGCAGUUCGUUGUUAGUGCUAAUUUGGAGGUGAAAGUUACUGGAAUGGAGUAAAUCGCUCACACUACCACCACUCAAAAAGGCACCAAUGACAUAGGCCUUCUGUAGCGGUAAAUCGCUCUGAGUUGCAUCAAAGGCUAACAACUGAUCCACCUCUGUUUGCGAAGCCCUAAAACUAAACUCACAGUGAGUGCUCGUUUCGUGGAUUUGAAAACUAAACUGGAGUGCAUUGCUAAACAACGCCUUUAAAGUAGCAGUGCUAGUUUUAAAGGAUCAUUGACCAGUAGCGAGUAGUUUUAACCCGUUUUGAAAAUAACCAGCUAAAAAGCUGGAUCACUCUGUUUUAAUUAAAGGGUUGGUGGCUAACUCGUGCUUAAUCUGAACACUAAAGGACAUCACGGAUCGUUAACACCGCGAUAAUGCCGUCAUUAAUGGCAGUACCAAUUUGACGGAAGUGCUUAGAACGACAAUCACCUGCUGCAAACAGACCCUUUAAACUUGUUUCCAUCUGUUCAUUGGUAAUUAAAAAACCCUGGGGAUCUAACUUUAAGUUGAGGUGUUCCACCGGUUUGGUAAUACUUUCAAAACCAAUAUAGGGAAAGACACAAUUGAGAUCUAUCUGUUUUGUUGAAUGAUCGAGCGUGUUUUGAAGCACUAUGCCGUUUAGGGUAUUGUUACCCAACAAUUCUUUUACGGUAUAGUUCAAGUGAAAAACAACAUUCGGUAAGUUUCUCAGUUUAUUUAACGCCGUUUCAUCAGCACGAAAGCCCUCACGGCGGUGGAUUAAGUGCACCGUUUUAGCCAUGCUAGCUAAAUACAACGCUUCCUGAAUGGCAGAGUUCCCCCCACCAACAACACCCACCACCUGGUCUUUGUACAAGGACCCAUCACAAAUGGCACAGUAACUAAUUCCCUUACCGUAAAAGUGGUCUUCUUUGGCUACGCCCAGUUUACGCUCCAACAUUCCCGUAGCGUAAAUAACGGUUUUGGCAAACACCACAGUUUUGUCAUCGAGGUACAAGAUAAAGGUAUCUGCUGCCUUAUCUAACUUAAUUAGGUUAGCAUAGAAAAAGGUGGGCUCUAAAUCAAUUAGGUGGUUGUACAUUUCCAACCCCAAGUCAGGUCCGGUAAUUGACUUGUAACCCGGAUAGUUCUCGACAAUGUUGGUUUUGACAACCUUACCGCCGGGAGUACUACCUUCAAUAAUGGCUAGAUUGAGGUUAGCGCGUUUGCCAUAAAUACCCGCUGCUAUGCCAGCUGGCCCAGCACCCACUAUCGCUACAUCGUAAAUAACCUGAUCUUUAGUUAAAAAAUCUGACUUUACUUUAAGCAUUAAUAAUUUUGAUGCGGGGGUUUAAAUAUUCAGAGCGCAUUGCUACUAUGAACUUAUUGUUGUCAUCAUAAAAGAGGUCGUAGAUCAGUAAGUUCUUAGUCUCAUCAUCCACACAGAUUAAGGAGCUUUUGCGCUCUACCACAAUGCCGUUGUAAGCAAAGUCCUUAAAGAAUUGUUCCUGGAGGUUUUGCUCGCUAAAAAUUUGGAGCACAUCAUCCUUGCCAAAGAAGCUAAGGUUUAAAAAAUUCUUCUUGUUUUCAUCAAAUAACUUGGCUUCCAAACCCUUAAAGUUACCAAAGUCAACGCCACUGUCAAUUGAGCUGAAAACAUCACGGUCAACUUCGCGUAGGUGGUUCUUCAUUAAGGUUGAGAGCUUAGCUCACUUGGGCAAUUUGUUGUCCUGGGUUUUAUGAAAGAAACUAAAACCAGCAUUCUUAGCGACAAAGUAACCAGCAUUACCUUUAGUGUGGCGAAUUAGAUCUUUACCUAAGAGGGUAUUGAGGAUAGUACGAAUGAGACUUCUAGAUGAAGCGAAACGAAUUUCGAGCUGGCGUUCAGAGAAGAUGCGGGUGCCAGCAGGCCAUUUAAAGCUUUGAAUUUUAAGGAGAAUGUAACGGUAAAUUAUUUGACCUUUUUUAGCUUGCUCUUUCGCUGAAAUCAUGAAGCAACUUUUCAACAAUUAUAAAAACUUGCUGGGGAUUGGCGCGAUUGUGGGUUCUUUGCAUAACUUGACCUAUAAUUAGCUUUUGAAUUCGUUCAACUCGAUCUAAGUUCUUAAGGAUUUCACCCUCGUUUUCCUUAAAGAUUUGUUGGAUGAUUUGCGUUAGUUGUUUUUCAUCAGUUAUCUGUUCUAAGUUGUGUAGUUUAGCCAGCGAUUGGGGGUCUUGCCCAUUGUCUAACAUUAACUCAAUUAACUGCUUUGCUUGUUUUUGGUUCACGGUGCCCUUCUGUACCAUUUGGAUUAGGAUAAUUAAGUGAUCAAUCGUUUUGUCCUUGAGCGGUUUUUGUAGCUUGUUGAGUUGUCCCAUUAACUCAAUGCACAACCAGCGAAUGGUAUCUUGGGGACUGUUAAUGACACUGUUAAUCUUGGUGUAAGCAUUAAAAAGAGUCAGAUCAUCGACUACUAAUUGAUUUAGCUGCUCAUUAACCCCAGCUUCCUUGAGCUUGGUAAAGAACUCAGUUAAGUUAAAGGCCUUGUUGGGUUUUUGUAGCAGUUCAUCAAUGUUACUGCUCAUAAUGUUGGGUUCAAUGAAAUAACGGUAAUCGACUGAAUUGUCCUUUUUACGCAUGAAGACAUUGGUAUUGGUUUUGUCGUCAUAAGUUAGGGUAACUUGUUGAACCGGUUCGCCUUUAAUUAGUGCUUUGACUUGACGUGCUAUUUCCAAAUCAAUUGCCUUUUCCACAUUAUUGAGUGAGUUAAUGUUCUUAAUUUCGACCUUGGUGCCAAAAGCAGUUUGUCCCUUUAAGCGCACUGAUACAUUACAGUCACUGCGCAUCGAGCCAUCUUCGAGCUUAGCGUUGGAAAUGUUGUUAACAAUCAAAAUUUGACGUAGCUUUUGCAAGUAUGCCUUAGACUGCUUAGCACUCUUAAUCACGGGCGCGGUAACUACUUCAAUUAGCGGUGCACCACAACGGUUAAAGUCGAGCAGAAUUUGCCCAUCGACAAAAUGUUGCUUGGCAGUAUCUUCCUCUAGGUGAAACCGUUCAAUGAUAAUCCGCUGCGCUUUGUUGUUUUCCACAAUUUCAACGUAACCGUUUUGCGCAAUCGGAAAGUUUUGCUGGGUAAUCUGAAAACCCUUAGGUAGAUCUUGGUAAAAGUAGUGCUUACGGUCAAACACUAAGACUGGCUGUACCCGUUGCAUGUUGAGCGCGUCAGCAAGGAUUAACGCCUUUUGUACCGCCUGCUCAUUGACCUGGGGCAUGGUACCAGGCAAGCCCAAAUCAAUCGCGUUUAUGAACUGGUUUGGUGUGGCGUUUUGCGCUUGGUUGGGCGCUGGGGAAAACAUUUUGGUAGCAGUGUUUAAGACCACGUGUACCUCAAUCCCAAUAAUUGCUUCAAAGUUAAUCAUCAUGUUCAAUUUGGAAUAAUUCCUCCAAUCAAGCAGCUACUUGUAAUAAUUGCUUGUCGUGAAAGCAGUUAGCAUUAACACUCAAACCAAUCGUUUGGUCCUUUUGUUUGACCAAUCAUGGAAUCGUAAUUGAAGGAUUACCAGCAAAGUUAGCUAGUUGUAAAAAGUCAUCCACGAGGUUAGUAAAGCUCUCACCCUUUUGCACCGCAGCUAUUGUUUUAGUAAAGCCGGAUGCACUAGGUGACACAAUGAAAUCCGCUUCUUUAAACAGGUUUAAGUAAGCAUCAACCAUUACCCGGCGGAUCUUUUGAGCCUUUUCAAAGUACUUGGUAAAGUUAUUCUUGUCAGUACCAAAAGCACCAAUAAUAAAGCGGCGUUUUAACUGCUCACCAAAGAAACGGUCGCGGUUGGCAGUAAUUGUUUUGGAAAAGUCACUCGCUUGGUUGGGUUCAAACAAUUUUUGACCAAAGACAAUCCCAGUGAGAUUACUGUAACAGCUCACCGCUUCACUGUAACUAAUCAGCUUGUAAACUGGAUCAAUUACCUCUAGCAGUUCAAGCGGAAAGUGAAACGGAAUUAACUCACAACCCUCCAAGGUAAUUCUUUCCUUUAAGCUGUUUCACUUUUUGCUCAGUUCAAUGUCAAACCAUUCCUCUAGCGGUUUUAGAUAACCUAUCUUGAUUUGCUUGUUGAAGGACUCUUUUAAGGACCUGGUAAACUUGCCAGCAUCAGGAGAUUUUUGAGCGGAAAAAUCAGCUUUGUCAUGUUUAAUGAUUUCAUCACUAACAAGUGCUACAUCAUACACAUACCGCGCAAAGAUCCCGACAUGGUCUAAACUAGGCGCGUAAGGAUACACUCCGUUCCGCGAUAUCAAACCAUAGGUGGGCUUAAAACCAACAAUGUUACAAAUGCUAGCUGGACGGCGUACCGAAUCUCCCGUGUCCGUACCAAUUGAAAAGGGAACAAUGCCGCGCGCCACUGCAUAAGCGGAACCGGAUGAAGAACCACCAGGAAUUAGGGUUUCGUUUCAAGGGUGGUGGACAAAACCAAAACCCGAAUGGAGCCCCGUACCGCCUAAACCAAACUCGUCGAGGUUCGCUUUACCAACUAAUAAAGCGCCACUGUUGUUUAGCAAUUCAAACACAGUUGCUGAAAACGGCGGGAUAUAGUCUUCCAAAAACCUCGAACCACCAGUAGUAACAAUUCCCUUCGUGGCAAUGUUGUCCUUUAAAACAAAGGGAAUGUUGUUGAGUGGUGAUUUACUGCGGUUUUUGGGUGCUUGGGCUUGUGCUCACUCAACCGUAUUUUUCAACAAAAAGUUACUCGAUCAGUGUUCGUUAAUUGCUCCAUCAAUUUGUUGUAAUAACGGAUUGAUUGACGCUGGUUUUUUAGUUAGUGUUUGCUGGAGCUUUAAGAUUUGCGAUUUCACAACUAUACUUUGACAAAGCCAACACUCAUUUCCUUACAGUUGGCUAAUAAUUUUUCGGGAUGCUUUUCCACUAUUACCUUAUCUUUACGCAGUGGCGUUGGUGAUGUAUUGAAAGGUGCGUACAUUGGUUCCACACUGGUGGUAUCAAUGUUCAUCACCCGGUCAAAGCUCUGGGUAAUAGUUUUAAAUUCGACCAAGAGCUUUUCCAUUUCGCCUUCUGUCAAAUCAAAGUGAGUGGCUCGUGCUAAGCGUUUUAACUCUUCUUGGCGCAACUGCUGGUGUUUACGUUUGUUAAUAAUGGGCAACACUACACUUUGCAAAUCAGUAAAGCUUUGUUUUAGUGUUUUGCGUUGGUUUUUAGAAACUGCUGUUUUAAAACCUUUGAGCAUUAGCGGGGUUAAUAACAGCAGAAUUGGAUAGAUCACAAUAAUGUCCAACAAGAAGAUUACGGGAGCGAACAGUAAGCGUGCUAAUAGUCAAAACUCGUAUGUUUGACCAGUUGUUUGCGUGUCAAAGAUCGGAAUGAAGGCAAUGUUGAUCAUCAACAAACUAGUGGAAGCUAAGGUGAUUACAUUCAAGAUUAAAUAGAACCAGUUUUCCUUAGUUAGUACAAACAGGGUAAACUGGUGAUUAGCAUGUUUGUAACUGCGGUAAAAGAAACGAGAGUGCUCAAAACUUAAGUGACGCUGUUUGACUAACCAAACAAUGUACAACACCAGCAUAGCAAUAACUAUGGCAAUGGUAAAGUAGAGCAGAAUGUUGGCGUACUGGGUUAACGAAAGCUCAAAGACAAUUGAUGGUGCGUUAAAUUUCAAGCGAAACUCUUCAUCACCCUUAAUCUCCUUAAGGUUAUUACUUAUCCCAAGCACAAAGAACUGGGUAAUUAAAAAGGCGGCAAUGACCAUGCCAAUCGAGAGCACUAGGUAGGCAAAAUCCGAUAAAUUACGGUUGUGUAAAAGUGCUGUUGAAAUUAAAACUUCACGCAGUAUGCCAGCAAUCAUCCCGGUUAAGAUGGCACCUAAAACAUAACCAACGUUAAAAACCCCACCCGAAAAGAUGACCGUUAAAAAGUCAAUUGUGGCCGCGGAAAAAAUGCCGACAAUUGGACCAAACAACAGUCCCGAAAUCUUUACAAGGAUUAACUCCAAGGUGACCCGAAAACCAGGAUAACCACGGAACAAAGCAGCGGCUAAACCGCCUGCUAGUGCCAUUAACACUAAAACAAUCGACACCGCCACAGCAAUGAUCAUGGCAAUCGUGGUAAUGUUACCUACCCCAAUUUUGGGAGUGUUUUUUGGAUAGCGUUUAAAGAAAAAUAAAAACAGUAGAUUUUUGAAUAAAAGGUAGCCCAUAAUGGCUACAAAAACAACCGCAAAGUAAAUAAAUCCAGAAGUGGAAAUAUCAGAAGUUAAUGGUUGAGGUUUAUUUAUUAAUUUAUCCAUUUUGGACUUUGCUUUGCAACUCUAAAACAAGCUUGCAAAGACAGUUUAAGCAGCUUUGCAGUUCUUUACAUUGUAAAGAAAAGACUGCUCGCUGUGCUUUUCUGUUUGAGUACAAGCGGAAUAAAAAUCAUAAGAAAAAUAAUGAAAAAUGCUAAAGCUUUGUUUGUUGAAUUAAAGACAAAACUUUACCAAAACAGUUAGAACUGGUACUGUACCUGGCCGUUAGUCCAAUCAAUUGGAGUAUGGUUAUGGUGCUUUAAUCACUGGUUAAUUUGCUUAAACAAAGCAUCGGGAUGAUCGAAAAACUUCCGCCCGGUUAAAGGUGAGGGAUGGGGGUAGGAUAAACUAGCAAAUUGGCUUGCUCCACCAAUCUUUUUAAGAACAAAAUUCUCGGUUUGUUUGCCCAAAAAAACGAGUAGUACAUAGAGUUUUUGUGACAAGAGAAAAUCGAGUAAAUGACAGUUAAACUGCUCUCACCCCCAAUUGCGGUGCGCAUUGGUUUGAAAGGCAUUGGUGGUAAAGACGCCAUUUAACAACAAGAUGCCUUGUUGUGCUCAACCCUCUAACAGUUGCUUCGUUCAGUGAUUUUGACCUGCUAGUUCCGGAUACUCUUGCUGCAAGCGCAGAAUCAUCCGCUUUAAGCUUUGUGGUAGUUUAGGGGCGUUAGAGGCAAACGAAAGACCACAAGCGUGUUGUGGAUUAGGAUAUGGAUCCUGACCGUAAAUAAUUAGUUUAGUGUUAUUUGGUGCAAAAAAGCUAAAGGGACGAAAGACUUGAGAGGCUUUGGGAGUUAGCUCUUGCUCGACAUUUUUUAGUUUAGCUAACAAUUCUUGAAAAUAGGUCUGUUUGGCUUCUUGCAAAAUAAAAGCCUUCCAUUCGCUUAAAACACCACUUAAAAACUGGUCUAAAAGUUGUUCCAUUUGCUGCCUUUGCGGCUCAAUGAACUACUUAGCUGUCAAAAUAACAAAGUGGAGGUAGCUCGCUAAAUCAACUACUGGCGGUUUAGUUGUACCAGUGCGUAGAUCCAAGUUGUCCAAACUUUGACCCUUAAGCAAGUUCAUAAAGCCCUGCUCUUUAACUUUAAUUUGUUGUUUAACGUGCAGGGUAAACCACAGUUUGUCUUCGGUAAAUUCAAACUUAGAACCGGGAUAAUCUUGCUUGGUAACAAUACCGCUAUCCAAAUCACCAUCAACGAUAAACUUCAUAUCCAUAGUUCCACUUCAAGAUGUUGGAAUCCCACCAAUUGCAGCCCCAAUUAGAUAUCAAAGACUGACAUUAUAGCUACCAGUGUACUUCAAGUUAAUUUCAAAAGAAUAGUUAAAUGGUUUUACUUGUUUAAUCUCAAUUCUUUUUUGCUUGUUCCAAUUAAUGGAAGAAUUUUUAUUUUCAUUCUGAACACUUAAACUUUUUAAGUUGAGCUUAAUGUCGGUCUUACCAGAGAGCUCGUCACGCAAUCACUGUGACAUGUAAAUUCCCUGAAAGCCAGCCACAGGGAACUGAAUGCCAUUCUUACCAAAAGCGUUAUUUUUAGCAGUGGUAUUAUUUUUCUCUUGAUUGUAGUACCAAUCAAUGGCAGUUCGAAAACCGGCAAUUAAAAAGUUAAAGGUACGGUUUUGGUUGCGGAAGAAAGAUGAUUUCAGCGCCUGAAUGAGUUCAACCUUUUUGGUAACAUCCUUACCUUGUUUUAACCAGUACUCUUUAAAUUUUUGUGCUGAAGUUAAGCUAUCAUUAAACUGUUGUGUUUCUGCGACAUUCUUAACUUCUUCUUGGCGCCGUUUUUCCGCUUCUUGCUGUUCUUUUAAUAAUUGCUCGGCACGUUGUUUGGCCUCUUCUAUUUCUUUUAAAUGUUGUGCCAAAGCAGCUUGACGUUCCUUUGCAAAAGGUGCAAUAAUAUCCUGUUUGUACUGAGUUUUUGCAGCUUCUAGGCGUGGCUUAAUAAUUGAUUGUGUUAGGCUCACUUGCUUUUGGAUAAUGUUUUCACCUAAAGCGGUUUUAGCAAUUGUGGUUAAAUCGUUAGUACCACUAGUUAACUUAUUAACGCUGUAUUUGUAAAACAACCCAGCCGUUAAAUCACUACCUUGAAGAUCAAAACUGUUUUGUAAUUCUUGUAAGGUAGCGAAGUUAAUCGUACUAAUAUUGAGCGCAAAAUCUAAAUUAGCUUUAGUGUCGUUAUUUUGGUAAACAGCAUGGAACUGCAUUUGCACUUCAAAGCUGUAACGUACCUUACUCUUAAUGACAAUGUCAUGCGUUUUAAUCAGUUUGACUUCAAAACCACUUAAGUUUAUUGAUGCUAGCUGAAACUGUUCAAACAAACUAGCAACGUUGUCCGCUAACCCUAAACCUUUCGGGUUCAAUACCGGGAAAAAGCCACUGCCCAAAAAGUCAAAUAAGCGUGCUUCUACACGGGGAAUUUGACUUUGUUCAUUGACAGGGAAAAUGUCAUUAGCAGCUUUUAUUUCCUUUUGCAGUUGGGGAAUUGUUUCAAGUACACCAGUCAAACUCUGUUUUCAACCACUCAACAAGUUAAAAACAUCGACUAAACCUAACUGGUUAACCGUAAUUGGCUUUGUCUUGAACUUUUGCUGAAAUAAAGCAAAGUUAGCGUCUCAGUCAGUAUGCUCUGCCACUGCAUUCAAGUCAGCAUCACUAAAUGCUUCACCGUGUAAAUUUAAGAGGUGGGAGUUGUCAGAUUGGUAACGCUGGCUAGUUGAAUUGAACCUUAAGUGGCUUGGUUCUAAAACAGAACUGUGCGGUAAAAUCGAGAAAAAUGCAAUUAGCGUGGGUAAAACGGUAAAACUACCGGUCAGGAACGCUCAUUUUUGUCAGCGCUUUUUUGGAAAUUUCAAUUAAAGUAGUUAGAAGAACUAAAUCAAAUACUAAAAACUACUGGAAAACUAAAACUACAGGAAAAUUUAACGGUUAAUUUUAACUUUUAGCUUUAGUGUCUUUGCCAUUUUCCUUAAAGAUGGCUUUAAAGAAAUCACUAAUGCUAAGGCUACCAAACUGUUUUUUAGUUAAAGCAGCUUCGGAAACAUCGAGGUGAUUUUGGGUAAUAGCAGCAACAAAUUGAUUGACUUGUUCCUGACUCUUUUGCAAGUCGUUGAGUAAAUUGGUAUUUUCGGUGUCAGUAGCUGCUUUAGUUAAGUCAGUAACAUUAGUUCAAUAACUACUGCUACUGCUUGGUGUCUCAUUUAAAUUAGCUGGGUACAAGAAGCUAAAACCGUUUGGCGUAGCGAUCGUGCCUUUAUUGGAAUCACCAUUGUUACCUUUUUCAACUUUAUUAACUUCUGGUGUGUAAGUUAGCAAUAGACUAAAGUUGUUCAAUUGAAGCUUAUAGUUUGUCUUUUUCAAUUCCGUGCCCCACUUCUUUUUCCAAACUUGCUUAAGUUGAGUGGUUGUGGGUGAAUUCUCAGUUACAAAAUCGCCAAAUUUAAUUUCAUUACCGUUGAAGCCAGUUUUAACAAAACUAAAUUCAGCUUCAAUAUUUUCGACACUCACUAACUUUUGAAUAAGACCACUAGAUGGGUUUUUGUUAUCACCACUUCCUUGAGUAUUCAUCGUACUCGAUAAAGUAAUCUUAUCGCGCAAAUCAAUCUUUUUGUUGGUGUUUUUGGUAUUUGUACUUGACAUUUGCGCUUGACUUUUCAAGGUAACUGCUUGAGUGGUUUUUUGCGCCAUUUGUGUUUGGGCGUUGUCAGUCAACUUAGCUGCAUUAAAGCUAAGUGACUUUAAACCAAACCAAAAGUUGUUGUUGCCAUCAUCAGCGACAAUUAAGUUAUUAGCCAAUGCCCGUUGUAACUCCGUUUCAUCAAUAUCUUGACUAAAGGUAAUUAGAUUACUGCUUUUACCAAUCGCUUUUAGAGAAGGUGUUACUGUGUUUCAAUAAGUUAAAGCAGGUUUAAUAAUGCGGAAAUUUAAUAAGGAAGCAAUGCCGCCGUAAAGUCGUUCAAACAAGGCUUCUUCCGGUUUAUUCUGGUCAGCUGCAUGAAAAUCACCACUUUCACCUAAUUUAAUUAACCGGGUGGAAUUGUUAGGGUCGUAAGUACCGGUGGAACGAUUAGUUUCUAAGAAGUAACCCUUUUGGUUGUUGUCAUCGUUAGAUGUAGUAGUACUAGAUGAACUACUAGCAGCCUUAACAGCAGUAGCUGUUUUCCCACUAAUAUCUUUUUUGAUUGCGCUAACGGUCGUUUGCACAGGUAAAUGAAAGGUUGAUUGUGGUGUUGAACAAGCAGUGAACACAAUCGAGCCUAACAAAAAAAGCGGGAUCGAUUUAACUGUUUUGUACUUCAUAAACUAACUGUAACCAUCAGGAUUGUAUUCCCGAACCCGAAAGGUAGAAACGUCACUUUGAAAGUCAAACUGUACUUUACCAGUCGGACCACUACGGUUUUUUUCCAAGAUUAACUCCACUUGAAAAAUAUUGUUGUGACCAAUUGCUUCUUGAUUUUCACUGUCCUCAUCCUUGACGCGGUGGAUGAAUAAAACCAUGUCAGCAUCCUGUUCAAUCGAACCCGAUUCACGUAAAUCCGACAAAAUGGGACGCGAAUCUUUGCGUUCUUCUAUUCUUCGAGAAAGCUGUGCAGCGGCAAUAAUUGGUACGUUAAACUCCUUGGCAAAGCUUUUAAGUGAUUUGGAAAUCAUGGUGACCUCUUGUUGACGCGAAAUGUUAUAGCUGUUUUUAAAUGCAUUAACUAGUUGGAGAUAGUCAAUUACGACCAACUUAACGUUAUUGGUUUUUGAAACUUCCGUGAUUUGAGCACGAAUUUCGUCCAACGUAAUCGUGCUGUAAUCAAAAAUUUUAAUAGGAAGAUCGCGCAAUACUUCUGAUGCUUUAAUUAAAUCAUCAUACACAUUAGCGAGCCUUUGACGACUCGUGAGUGUGUAAUUUACCUGGCUUUCUAGCAUUAAAUGGCGCUGAUAAAUUUCACGGUUACGCAUUUCUAAGCUAAAAAACAGCAACACAUCCUUGUUUUUAUCAAACUUUUCGCUGUCAUUAACCGCGCCCUGCAAAAAGUUAAUUAGAAGCGCUGUUUUCCCGCGACCUGGACGCGCUGCUACCACAAUUAACUCACCCUCUUUUCAACCAGAGGUUAAUUGAUCUAAAGGGUAAAAACCACUUUUAAGCCCUUUUACAGUUAAUUCACCACGGUACACUUUGCGAAUUAACUCUUCCUCUUCACGACCAAUUUCGUCAUAACUCAAACCGGGAAUAGAAACAAAGGCGCUGUGAAUAAUCUUGGUAAAGUCGUUUUGAAUUGCUUGUAAAUAGCCCUCAAAACGGUCAUCUUUGACCUUAAACUCUUCCUUUUCAACCUUUUUGGCGAACUGUUUAAGUUGGCGAAAAAUCGAAGCUUUUUUGACAACAUCAACAAAGACCUUGAUGUCCCUUUCCAAAAAGGGAAGACCUUUGAGUAAAACGUCCUCAAAUAAACCUUCAAUUUCCCUUUGUGUUUUGGAAUCGGUAUCCAGCUUAAACUUAACGGCCUCUAAAAGCGCCGAACCAAACAACUUAUUGCCCUCAGAAUAGUUUUCCUGUGCUGUUUGAAAGAUAAAGUUAAACGGAAAACCAAAGAAGUCCUUCGGUUCAAGCUUGGUUAAGAUUAAGUCCACACCAACGGCAUCUUGUACUAAAGCUUGCAUUAAAACACGCUCAGCACGUUCAAUGUUCUUGUCGUUGGCAAACUUAAAGGUCUGUUCAAGCUUAUUUGACACCAUUAUCCGGGGUUACCUUAACUUUUAAAACUGCGGUUGUAUCUUCAAAGAUGUGUAAGGUAAUCUCGUGAUCCCCAAACCCUAAGCGCACGUUGUCUUUAAACAUAAACUUUUGCAGCGCCAUCCCUUUAGUGUGGGCUUGGUUAAUAAUUUGCUUGGUAAUAAUCGAGCCAUACGGCCGACCGUUGUGCUCCUUUAAGCUAAAGUGGAGUUCUGUUUGUUCAAUUACUUCCUUUAACUUGUGGCUUAACGCCUUGUUAAUCUCAUAGUGUUCUUGUUGUUUCUUUAAGAACAAAUCACGGUCUUGUAAACUCUUUUUCGUUAAAGGUGCAGCCAGUUUUUUAGGAAACAAAAAGUGGAUUGCAUAGCCAUCUUUAACAUCAACCACAUCAAAGCGUUUGCCUAGGUUGCUAACAUCUUGCUUCAAAAUUACCUUCAUAACUAAUCUUUUACAAACGGAACUAAGGCUAAGUAACGUGCACGCUUUAAGGCCUUGGCUACAUGGCGCUGAUGCAUUUGGCAGUUACCAGUAAUCCGGCGUGGGUUAAUCUUAGCGUAGGGACUCAAGAAACGCUUUAACGCUUCUAAAUCAUCAAUUAAGUCAAUUCUAAGUUGACCAAUGGCACAAAAACGGCAGUACUUUUUAGAACGCUUAAAUAAAGGACGUACCAUUCUUUUGCCUUCUUCUCUGUUGAAGGUUGUUUCAGUUGUAGUUUCAACUUCUUUUUGGAAAUUAUCGUGUUCGUUAUUCAUCAUCACUCUCCUCCUCUAGUUGGGAAUCGUUGUUUAAAAUGGGGUUAAUGUCAUCAUCUUCAUCAUCCAGACUAAUCGGAAAUGCUUGGGCUAAUUCAUUUUCAGUAGCAUUGGUUUUCGCUGCUAAAAAGGGUGAAUCAAUUACCGUAGCCUUAUCAACAGGUUGCUCUAAACUGUUUUCCUCAUCGGGACGGUAAACCUUAUCAGCGAUAACUUGGAGCGCGUAAGUGGCCUUCGAAUUGGGAUCAUCACUGCGGUUGUUCAUCUUGUAAGUGGACAAUCUCCCCUCCACAAAAACACUGUCACCGGGUUUUAAAGUUAAAACAAAGCUAGCAACUUUACCCCAAGCAGUAAUCCUAAUAUAGGACUUACUGUCAUUAAAACCGCUCGAAUCAAUGCACGCUAAGGAAAAGGACGCGCCAAUAUUGUUGGUACGGGUUUGCAAUUUAUUAGGAUCAAACGAGAGCUUACCAAAUAAAAAAACGCGGUUCAUUAUUGCUUAUCCUUAAAGCGGUUGUGCUGACGGUUGCGGUUGCGGUCAAAACGGUUAUUGUUAUUGUUUUGUUGGUUUUGCCGUUGGUUAACGUGUUCCGCGUUAAAGCGUUUGAAACGUGGGCGGUAUGGGUUGGCUUGAACGCUGUCAAAGUUUCCCAUCUUUUGCACCACAUCCCACAGCUCUUCCUUUGGUUUUUGUGCCUUUUCAGUACGUGAUAAGCGUGGUUGGGUGGAAGCUAAACCUGAUGUUACUGGUACAUCCGGGUUUUCGGGGUUGUUUUCCCGCGCAAUGAUUUCGUCAUACUUAGCGCGUUUUUGCAGUGCCAGCUGUUGCUUUUUUGGAUUUAUCGAAGCUAAGUAGCCGUACUCACGUUCUAAGUUAAUAAUCAGUUCACGUAAUACUUGCUUGUUAAUGUUAGCGGUACGCUUAAAGUCCUUCGUGGAUUGGUUAUCACCACUAAACUUCCAGCGGUAAUAAUGCGCUGAGAGUUGUUUCUUAAUUGGGUAUGCCAACUCCUUUAAACCAAGGUAUUCUGUUUGCAAACCCUCAACGUUGGUUAACGUUUGCUGUUGUUUUUCAUUCACUUGGUUAGCUUGCUCUAACGAGAGCGAACCAUCAACUAAAAGAAUAAUGUUGUAUUGCAUCGUAACUUUAUGGGAAAACUAAAUAUAAAAGUAAAGAUUUAUGCCUAUCUAUUUUGCUAUUUCUUGGUGGCAAUUAUCUCAUUCACCACACUCUUAGGGGUUUCAGCGUAAUGGCUAAACUGCAUCACAUAGUUACCCCGACCUUGAGAGAAGGAACGUAAAUCAGUGGCGUAACCAAACAUCUCUUUGAGUGGUACUUUGGCCUUAAUUACCUGCACGUUAUCACGUUGUUCAGUCCCCUCAAUGAGACCUCUUCUCGAUGAUAUGUCACCCAUGGUGUCCCCAAAGUAUUGUUCUGGCACCGUCACUUCAAUUGCCAUAAUUGGCUCUAACAGUACCGGACUACAUACCUUGCCCGCCUCUUUUAAAGCUAAGGAUGCCGCAAUCUUGAAGGCCAUUUCACUCGAAUCAACUUCGUGGAACGAACCAUCAAACAAGGUAGCUUUGAUGUCAAUCAUCGGAUAACCAGCUAGCGGACCUGAUGCCAUAGCGUUUUCCAAACCCGCUUGCACUGGUUUAAUGUACUCACGCGGAAUCCGACCACCAACAAUCUUGUCGACAAACUCAAAGCCCUUGUCCUUGUUUGGUUCAAAGCGAAUCUUGACAUGACCAUACUGACCGCGGCCACCCGAUUGUUUAAUGUAUUUACCCUCAACUUCACUUUCUUUAUUGAAGGUUUCACGGAAGCUUACUUGUGGUGCGCCCACAUUAACUUCAACCUUAAACUCGCGGCGCAUCCGAUCCACUAGGAUGUCUAGGUGCAAUUCACCCAUUCCCGCAAUAAUCGUUUGCCCAGUUUCGGGAUCAGUGAAGGUCUUAAAGGUCGGAUCUUCUUCCGCUAACUUCGAGAGUGCAAUCGACAUUUUUUCCUGAUCUGCCUUGGUUUUUGGUUCCACCGCUAAAGAGAUCACGGGUUGUGCGAACUGCAUCGCUUCUAGUUGGACAUCAAUCUUGUCAUCAACUAGGGUUUCUCCAGUAGUGGUGUCCUUUAAUCCAAUAAUAGCACAGAUAUCACCAGCACGAAUUUCCUCGAUUUCAUUGCGGUUCUGCGCGUGCAUUUUUACCAAACGUGAUACCCGUUCCUUUUUGUUCUUUCUUACAUUCUUAACGUAAGAACCGGACUUAAGUACUCCGGAGUAAACGCGGACAAAGGUUAAACGUCCCACAAAUGGGUCAGUCGCUACCUUAAAGGCUAAACCAACAAACGGUGCAUCAUCACUAGCCGAGAUUAACACCUCAUUACCAUCUUCACCAUAAGCCUUGGCUUGCGGUACGUCAACUGGGGAAGGUAAGAAAUCUACUACAGCAUCCAAUAACAGUUUGAUCCCCUUGUUUUUAAAGGCAGAACCACAAAGCACCGGGAAGAACUGACAACCUAUUACCCCUUUGCGGAUACAGCGCUUGAUGUCGGCAAUACUAAUUUCCUUACCUUCAAGGUAAUCAGCCAUUAACUGAUCGUCAAAGUUAGCCACCUCUUCCACUAGGUGCGCACGCAUUUGUUUGACCUGAUCCUUAAACUGGUCGGGAAUUGGUUUUUCCUCGGCCUUUUCUUCCUUACCACCAUCAAAGAAGUAAACUUUCUCUUCAAUCAGGUCAAUAAUGCCGUUAAAGUCGUUUUCCGCACCAAUUGGUAAUUGGAUAGGUACCGCCUUUACUCCUAAGCGCUGUUGAAUCGAUUGUACAGAACGCUCGAAGUUAGCCCCCGUUUUGUCCAUCUUAUUGACAAAGAUAAUCCGGGGCACUUCGUAACGCGAUGCUUGGCGUCACACCGUUUCGGUUUGUGGUUCUACCCCCAUUUGAGCAUCUAACACAGCAAUGGCACCAUCAAGGACACGGAGACUGCGUUCUACUUCUACGGUAAAGUCAACGUGACCGGGGGUGUCAAUUAGGUUUAAGCUGCAGUUCUUCCAACUAACUGAAGUAGCUGCGGAGGUAAUCGUAAUACCGCGUUCCUUUUCCUGCUCCAUCCAGUCCAUCACGGACUCCCCGUCAUGGGUUUCCCCAAUCUUGUGGAUUCGGCCUGAGUGAAAUAAAAUUCGCUCUGAGGUGGUGGUUUUACCCGCAUCAAUGUGGGCCAUAAUUCCGAAAUUACGGAAGUUAAUUAAAUCUACUGUACGCGCCAUAAAUAACUAACUCUAUUCUCUAUUACCAACGCAUGUGGGCAAAGGCCUUGUUGGCUUCAGCCAUCUUAUGCGUAUCGUCCUUCUUUUUAAUGGCUGCACCAGUAUUAUUCGAUGCAUCAAUAAUUUCGUUAGCAAUCUUCUCUAACAUCGUUUUUUCAUGACGCUUACGCGCAAACAUUGCAAUUCAACGGAGUGCUAGAGCAAUCUUGCGGUCUUGAGGUACUUCGGUAGGUACCUGAUAGUUGGAUCCCGCAAUCCGCCGUACCCGGAGUUCCAAGCGCGGCAUCACGUUGCCCACAGCGCGUUCAAACACGGUUAAGGGUUUUUCUUUAGUGCGUUGUUCAAUGAGAUCAAAAGCACCGUAUAAGAUUCGUUGUGCUAAACCCUUCUUGCCAUCUUCCAUGAUGACGUUAAUAAUCCGGGUUACCAGCGUAUUGUUAAAAACGGGAUCGGGUAAAACAGUCCGUUUGGGAGCACGAUUUUUUCGCAUAUAAAGUUAAUUGAUUGAGUUAAUGUUUUUCGUAAAAAAAGGAAUUUAAGAUAUUAGGACUUGGCUUUUGGUUUCUUAGCCCCGUAAGCUGAACGUUGUUGACGGCGUUUUUCCACACCAACAGUGUCUAAGGUACCACGAACAAUGUGGUAACGCACACCAGGAAGGUCUUUCACCCGACCGCCACGGAGUAGCGUUACACUGUGUUCUUGGAGGUUGUGUCCUUCACCAGGGAUAUAAGCCAACACCUCAAAACCGUUAGUAAGUCUUACCUUGGCAUAUUUGCGCAAAGCAGAGUUCGGUUUUUUUGGAGUCAUGGUACCAACCCGGGUACACACACCACGUUUAAGUGGUGAAUACACGUUGGUUACCUUUUUGUUGAGUAAAUUGAGGUUGUAAUGUAAAGCGGGUGAUUUAGAUUUAACCUUCUUCUUUUUCCGCGGUUUUCUAAUUAAUUGUGCGAUUGUAGCCAUAAAGACAGCGCGAAUAUUGUAACACAAUCUAAGCUUCCGGCACUGCUUCUAGCUUGUCAAACAUGAGCAUUUCAUGGUCGUACAAACGGUAAAUUUUCGGUGGUAAAACAUCGUUGUAGUACUUCAACUGAAAGAAGGAACGUUCCUUUUCAGGUAAGCUCUUUUCGUAAAAUGCAAACUUACUAGAACAAGCCUGUGUCCUAUCCUUCAUAAAUAAGGUAGUAAAGAAAGCGGCUACCUUGUACCAACCGUAUAGGAAGAAGUAAGUUCAGAAAUAACCACGCAAUUUAAUUGCUAACGUUUGACAGUAAAUAAUCCCUACUAUUCCCACCAAAAUUAAGAGUGCACUAAACACAAUCGAGGUAUUGUACUUAAACGCUUCAUCACGCUGCGUUUCCAAGAUUAAGCGAACUAUGCCAGUCGCUAAGAAGUAACUAAAGCCAAUUGUCCCACUGCGGAUCCCCUUAAUGUGGUCCAUUACAAAGUAGAUAAAGACAAAGAAGAUCGUGUUAAAGAACGAUUCGAUUAAGAAAAGCGGAAUGCGGAAGCUACCAUUGAUAAACAUUCCGUCCCACACUUUGGGCAUUAAGAUUCUUAAAAAGCCCCAGGUGGUGUUAGCAGCUGACAGGGUAUCAUUUUUGGAACCCACUAAAGCUGCGCCAUAAACUUCCGCGUUAAAGAAGUUACCCCAACGACCAAUGGCUUGACCAAUUAACACACAGGGAGCGAUGAGAUCCAACAUCACAAACACUGAGAUGUUACGCUCGACAUAAACCGUUUUAAUCUGGUUCUUGUUGUUUAAUAGUUUAGCGGUGGUUUUGGUUUUGGUCGUCUUCAUGUUUAAAAAGACGUUAAAGUAGAUAAUCCCCGCUAACGUAGUUAACAACACACCACCUUGGAUUGCUAACCCACCGUUGCGGAAGUCAAAGAAGUUGCUCCCACUUGAACGACCAUCAACCGCUUCAAUCAAAAAAUACCAAGCUCGUGCGCCCAAUACCAUUGUUAAAACUGCAAUGAAGAUAAAGAAGUAAAAGCUGUUAUCUUGAAUCUUGUAAAAGUAAAUUAACUUCAAGACAAACAUUAAGAUGCCAAAGGCAAUCCCAAUUGCGACUAUGAUCCCAUACCAUUGAAUAGGAAAACCCGGCCCUAAGUAAAAGGCCGUUGAUCAUGGUGGUCUGCUACUAACACUAGGAUUCAUCUUUUUUACGUUUUAAAAUGGCCUUCUGGUUUUCAAUAAAGUCUAAAGCAGAGUUAUAGCCACUGUGCUUAAGUUUAAAAUCAAUUACAGCGCUUUCAAUGAUUUCACUCGUCUUCCGCCCGGGGGAAAUCGGAAUUUCAUAAAAGCUCAAAUCAACUCCGAGUAAACGUUGUUUUUUCAAUUCGGUACCUAAACGCUCAAAGGUCACGGUCGUUUGUUUUUCUAAACUCAGUAAGUUCACCAUUAACUGGAUUUCGGUGCGCUGUUUAGUAAUUUGCAAUCCGUAAAAGCGCUCGACGUUAAUAAUACCAAGACCACGGAUUUCCAUAAACUUUUUCGCUACUUCCUGCGCGCGACCAAACAAGCGAUUACCCAAACGGUAUAUUUCAAUCGCAUCAUCACCGACAAAGAGGUGGUUCUUGUUAAUUAGAUCUAAGGCACACUCUGAUUUACCAAUGCCACUGCGACCAGUUAAUAAGACACCUACACCAAAAACUUCCAGCAAGACGCCGUGAAUUUGUGCAACAGUAGCAAACUGUUCGUUAAUGUAGGUUUCGACCGUAAAGGAAAGUUCCGUGGAAAAGAAAUCGGUCUUUAGGAUCGGUACCUGAUAAGUCUGGUUAACCUGUAAAAGUACCGUGGGGUCAGUAAAGGACUUGGUCAAAAUAAUCGCUGGUGGGUUGAGUUUGAGUAAGUUGUGGAGAAUUUGCUGUUGUUCAACCAGCGUUUUUUGACUCAAAAAGCCAAACUCGCGUUUGCCCAAAAUGGCUACCGAGCCAAUUUGGCUGGAAAACAACCCCAGCAUUUCAAACACCACCCGCUUUAAUCCGGGUACUCUAAUUACAUUACUGGUGUUAGUGUGCCCAUCAAUGAGGUUAACACAAUCCUGAAAUUGUUCGAUUAACUCCUUGACUAAUAACUUUUUCAUCUAACUCUUGUACAGUAAAGUUAGCCGUUCGUCUUUAAUGGAUAAGAAGAUCUCAUCCUUGAGACGGUAAUGCUUUUGUUGAAACGGUUGGAUAAAGUCUAAAAUGGCAUCAAUCUUGUCCCCCGUUACAUCAAUGUGGUGGGUAAUUAAAAAGCUGUAAACCAACUGACGUUGAUCGGGAAGUGGGUAACGCUUUAAUUCACGUACAUCAGGAUGAGCUAACCACUGUUUUGCACGUUUCAUUAAGGAAAAGAGCUUUUGACCAAUGACGCGGUUCAUGGCGCACACACCAAUGUAAAACUCCUCCUUCUCUUCCUUCGAUCAGUUAGCGAUCUCCUGGCGUACCUGAUUACGUUUGUAAAUUGGCUGCGCGUUGGUUUCAUCAAUACCAUAAGGCACUUUGUGUUCUUCACACAAGGCUAAGAUCUCGUUUUUUCAGUACUUAAUAAAGGGACGAUAGACCUUCAUCCCAUACAAUUCGCCACGUGUUUUAAUGCCAUAAUACAUGGCACGCUUGCGUGCGUCCAACUGCAUUUUGGCCUGUUCGAUAAAAUCAUCGCGGUGGUGGGCUAACAGCAGCUUAUCUACUUUAUAAAGGCUAGCUGCUUUUUGAAACUGUUCAAAGCGAAUUUUUCUAGCUUGUGCUUGAAAGUUUUUCUUUCAAACGGUAUCUUCAGGUACCGUGUGCACAAUGAGGGGCACUUUGAGCUGUUUACAGUAUUCUUCGACCAUUUUUUGGUCGCGGAGUGCAGUAGUCCGCUUAUUGUAGUUAACGUGUACAACACAGGCAAUCUUCUUGUGGUACAGUUUUAACAACAACAUUGAAUCAGGACCACCUGAUACUCCAGCUAUGUAUUGUGUUUUAGGCAUUGAAAACUUCCAUUAAUUUAAGCAUUGUCACACCAUCAAUGUAACCCUUGAGUGCUUCAAUCGCUUUUGUAAGCGCUGUUUCAAGUAAAUUACGCUCGGCUGGGGUAAACUCCGACAUUACCACUUCAUGGAGAAUGUUACUAGUAUUAUCGGACUUAAUUCCGAACCGGAGGCGGUUGAAGUGUUCAGUAUUUAAAUGCGCAAUUACUGACUUUAUGCCAUUAUGAUUGUUGGCUGAACCCUGCAUUUUUAGUCGAACAGUACCUAACGGGAAGGCUAAUUCAUCAUAAACCACCAUUACCUUAUCUGGUUUAAUGUUUCAGUUUUGACAAGCUCAUUUAACAAACUUACCACUGUGGUUCAUGUAAGUGUUUGGCUUAGCUAACACUACCUUAUGUUUUCUUAAAAGGAUGAAUUCACCUAAGUUGUUGCGUUCCUCUAACUGGACAUGGUAAAGACUUAGUAAACGAUCAAUUACCUUAAACCCCGCGUUAUGACGGGUUUCAGCGUACUGCUUACCUAAAUUACCUAAACCAACAACGAGGCGCAACUUGUCCAUUAAUCAGGGAGCUUAACCUUUAAGCUCGGACCCAUGGUAGUGGUCAAGGCAAUGUUCUUAAUGUAAAUUCCUUUAACGGUUGCUGGUUUACGUGAUUUAAUGAGAUCAAGCAGUGCCAAAGCGUUUUCAACCAAGUGGUUGGACGCACUGUCCACGCGGCCUAAGGACAUGUGGAUGUUACCAAAGCUGUCAGCGCGGUAUUCCUUUUUCCCCUUCUUGUAAGCGCGUACAGCAGCUGGAACAUCAUCAGUAACGGUUUCUGUUUUUGGGUUAGGCAUUAAACCCUUGGUACCUAACAGCUUCCCGAGUUUACCUAAUGCGGCCAUAAACUUUGGAGAAGUGAUGAUCAGGUCAAAGUCUAGUCAACCGUUUUUAAUGUCAUUGAUCUUGUCAAUGCCACCAACAAAGUCAGCACCUGCUUCCAGUGCCGCCUUUUCAUCAUCGGUGAUCGCUAGAAUACGGAUUGGUUUGCCAACACUGUGAGGAAAAGCAAUCGCACCGCGGAGCUGUUGUUCCGCCUUGGUGGUGUCUAAAUUAAGGCUAACGGCAAUAUCAACUGAGCCAUUAAAUUUGGUAAUUGAAGUUUUUUUGACUAAAUCAACUGCUUCUUGGAGCGGGUACAGCUUGGUUUUAUCGACCAAACCAACAGCUAUCUUCAUUUUCUUUGAUAGUUUAGCCAUUAUUCGAUCACCUCGAUUCCCAUUUGUUUAGCAGUACCUAAAACCAUUUUAAGGGCUGCUUCCACGGUGUUAGCGUUCAGAUCCACUAACUUGUACUGCGCAAUUUCCUUGGCCUUGGCCAUCGUAAUCUUACCCACAAUUGUUUUGGCGUUUUUCGCCCCCUUUUCCAGUUUUGCAGCCUGCUUAAGCAAGAUGCUAACUGGGGUAGUUUUUAAGAUAAAGUCGAACGACUUAUCGUUGUAAGCGGUGAUCACACAGGGGAUCAUUUCGCCCUGUUUGUCCUUGGUUUUUUCGUUAAAUUGUUUGGUGAAUUCACCCAUGUUAAUCCCAACAGAUGCGAGUGCGGGACCGGGCUUUGCUUGCCCGCCUAAGAGGUUAAUCUUAGCGAUUCUUGUAAUAGUCUUUUUUGCCAUAAUUGGUGUGGUAAUAACGCUAAACUAGCUCCCACAAUUUGCUAGAAAUUUUAAAUUAAUUUAUCCGACUUGCUCCUUUGAUCCAACUGUCAAACUGGCCUUGAGUACAGUACAACUCGUGUUCUUGGGUAUUUGGCACCUUCAAGAAGCUUGGCAUAUUCGUGAGUGAAUAAUCACUGUCAUACGUAAACUUCUCGUCAAAGGAGGCUAGGUCAAUGUUAAUCUUACUCAACUUUGGCGAUGCCUUAAUCAAGGAACGGGUGUAAGGGUGGACCGGGUGCGCGAAGAUUUCAUCCGUACUACCCCGUUCCACAAUUUUGCCGCGGUGCAUAAUAAUUAAACGGUUGCACACUGUUUGUACCAUCGAAAGGUCGUGGGCAAUAAAGAGCACCGUUAAGUUGUGUUUUUUAGCCAAGUCCUUCAAGAUGUUAAUCACCUGCGCUUGAAUGGAUACAUCCAAAGCACUAAUAAGCUCAUCUGCAAUAAUUAACUUAGGUUUGGUAAUUAAAGCGCGGGCAAUCGCAAUCCGUUGCCGCUGACCCCCAGAAAACUCGUGCGGAUAGCGAUAAGCGUGCUCGCGUUUGAGGCCCACACUGUCUAAUGCUUCAUACACCUUGUUACGCAUGAAGAUCUUGGUCAAUGGUAAGAACAAUCCUCACUUCAUCACGUCAUGACCAAAGUGGACUAAGCGAAAGACACGGGAUUCACGCACAGCACGUUUGUACUCAAAGUUAAUCACCCCAAACGACUUUAAGCGUGUUUUGAGUUCACUCUUGAGAUCACCUUCGACCGGGUAGAACAACAGUUGGAUCCGCUCUCAAAUGGUUAGAUCCAAGCCUUCCUCAAUCUUUUCUAAUUCCUGCUGUUUUUUGACAAGGAGGUUUAACUGCUUGGUAAAUUGGCGUAACAACUGUUUAAAGCGUUUAUAGAGGUGCAGCGCACUCUUGUACUGCUUUAAUACUGGUUUUAAAGCGGCCUUUUCGGUACUUUGGACUUCGCGUUUUUGCUGCUUGAUUUGCGUUUGAAUUUCAGCAAUUUGCGUUUUUAAGCCAGUAAUUUGGGCACUGUGAUCUUCUGCUUUUUUUUCUGUUUUAAAGGUAGCUUUUAACUCCGCAAUUUCAGUUUUAAAACUACUAAUCUUGGUAUUAAUUUCACUGGCUAUAUUCGAUGCCUUUUCAAUGUCAGUGCUAAUAAUAUCGUUGAGUUCCUGCACUGAUUUGGCAAUCUUGUCAUAGUUAGCAUCACUAAAGAGCUUUUCCCAGUAUGGUUGGAUUACUUGGGGGAGCUCCUUAAUGUCAUAACAGCUGUUGGCGUAUAACAACUCGGUUUCGCGGUUAAAGUCAAAACUAUAGUUAGUUUGCUUCUUAAAACUCUUUUUCAAAGCAGCAAAGCGUAAGUCACACAAGCGACGGAUAAACUGAACAAAACGGAUUAACUCGGCCUUAGCGUCACUCUCCACAUUAGCAAAAUCACGGUUUAAGGCAAUCACCACAUCAAUCAAGUCAAAGAAGACUGCGUUGGUCAAUUCAUCAAAACGAUCGGCGUUCUGGUGGAUCCAAUUGUCAUAAAAGUACGGCAACGCCUUGUAAUACUCCGAUAACACUAACACUAAGCGGCGCUUUUUGUCGACCAUGUCGUUGUAAGAAAAAGCAAAGACAUCGUCAGUUAACUGCGUGUUUUGGCGUGAAUCCUUAAUGUAGUUCUUCGUUGUUAACAACCAUGCAUUGAGGUAAAUCCGUGGUUUGUUUUGCAACUCUUCCGCCAUUUGGGCACGGUACGCUUUUAAGUUCUGCUUAGUUUGUUGCAACUUUUGUCAAGUAGCAAAGGCCUGGGUGGAAACUUUAGCUUUUUGCUGCGUUGUAUACAGCUCUUGCUUUAACUUGUCAAUCGUGUCCUGUGCUAAGGUUUCCUGUUUGUCUUUGAGGGCCUUUUGUAGCGGUUCGCUUUGGGAUGAGGAAAACUCAUAGACCAGACCGAACUCUUGCCGUAAUGCUUCAAUUAGAUCAUCAGUGUGACCCAAAAUGGUUUGUGCUAACUCGGCUGAACUAUUGUUAUUACUCUCUUGGAGUAGGGCAAACUUGUUAAUCGUAGUUUCUAAGUGAAACAGUACCUUUGAAAAGAACUUUUCGUAAAACUGGGUUUCCAGUUCAAAGUCUUCCCUUAACAAUUCCUUCUUGGUUUUAAAGGACAGUUUAGCGAGCGUUUUAAGAUAUUCCUUUACCUCACCAUACACCGUUUUGGUAAUUACUAACGGUUCGGAAAUGACCGUUAAAACAUUCUUGGUAGGGUUUAAAGAAGAGUAUGGGUCUUGAAAGACCAUCUGCACGUUUUGCUUUAACCAGUGGUCGUUUUCGCGUGUUAGUUUUUUACCAGAAAUAAGGUGGUUAGCAAUUUCCACCUUACCGCCACUCGGGAUAUUUAACCGGAUUAAACACUUCCCCGUGGUUGACUUACCACUACCCGAUUCGCCAAUGACCCCAAAGAAGUCACCUUCAUUGACGGUAAAGUCAAUUUCAUCUAAGGCUUUAAAGAAGCUACCGCGGACCUUGAACAACAUGCUCAAGGCUUUAACAUUAACGAGCGGAUUUUGUUUUUGUUUUUUUGUUUCCAUUGCUUUUUGGUUGUUUUACAGGUUGAGAUGGCAUUUUAAUGGCGAGUGCUUUGCGGGUAAUGGCAAUCUUUUCCUUGACAUCGGCGGGCAUCUCUACCUUCGGUGCUUGGGGAUGGAGUAGCCAGGUAGCGGCCUUAUGAGUUUCCGUUACAUCAAAGAACGGCGGUUGGUGCUCGAAAUCAAUGGCAAGUGCAAACUGGUUCCGCGCUGCAAAGGCAUCGCCCUUAGGCGGGGAUAACAUAUUGGGAAUAUACCCAGGAAUUGAGGUUAGCGGAGCGUUUUUGUCCGUACCUUCAGGGAUAGAAGCCAUUAAUGCCCAAGUGUAGGGGUGCACCGGAUUGGUAAAGAUUUCCUCAACUAAGCCCUUUUCCACUAAUCGACCAGCGUACAUUACGUAUACAAAGUCACAGAAAUUAGCAAUUAACGAGAUGUUGUGACUAAUAAAAAUAAUGGUAAUGUUGAGCAGGUCACGCAGCUGUUUAAUUAGGUUCAACGCCUUCGCUUGGAUGGUCACAUCCAACGCCGUGGUCGGUUCAUCGGCAAUAAUUAAAUCCGGUUCGGUGGCUACGGCAAUCGCGAUCACAAUCCGUUGCCGCAUUCCCCCGGAAAACUCACUUGGAAAGGCCUUUAAGCGCUUUUCAGCUUGGUCAAUGCCAAUGAAGUUAAGGAUUUCUAGCGUUUUUGCAUGGACCGCCGCCUUAGUCGUUUUAGCUUUGUAAGUUUCCUUGGCUUGUGCUAGUUUUUCCUUGUAAGUGUCCAGGUCAAUUCGUUCUGUUUGCAAAUCGUAUUUGAGGUCACUCUUAGUUUGGUAAUAUCGGCGCUUACACGACACAUAAAUCGCUUCUUUAACCUGGCGACCGAUGGUCAUGGUGGGGUUUAACGAGAACAGUGGAUCUUGGGAAAUGUAAGACACGUACGUGCCACGGUAGUACUGUCACUGGUGCUUUUUCAUCUUGCUAAUGUCAAUGUUCUUAAAGUUCAUUAACUUAGCGGUCGUUUUUGCGCCAUCGUUAAAGCCAAUAAUCGACUUAACACAGACCGAUUUACCACUACCAGAUUCGCCCACAAUGCCGACAAUGGAGCCCUUUUUGACUUUGAGAUCAACACCACGGACAGCUUGCAUAAUGCCGUCUUUAACCUUAAAACUCACGUGAAGAUCACGGAUAUCUAAGAUCAAAUCAUCCUGCAGUUUGUACUCUGGUUCUGUAAAAAAAUUAGUUGCUUUUAGUGCCAUAUUACCUCCUUAUUACCCGUGGGUCAAUUGCGUCAUUUAAAGCGUUAGCAAACACGCGGGUCGAAACGGUGAGAAUUGCAAAGCUCACAAUUGAGCUGGUAAUCAGUGCUAUGUUACCACUACUGGUGACCUGGUUUAAUAAAGCACCAAGUCCCACUUCGGUAGCAGGUUUAAGCCCUAAGAAAACCAGUGAUGCUUCAUAACCAAUCACAGCGGGAAUCAAACUCACAAAGACGACUGCUAAACGACCAGUUACAACUGGUAGCAUGUGGACAAAAAUAAUGCGAAUUUGUUUUGCUCCUAAGGUACGCGCUGCUUGGAUGUACUCCGUAUCCUUAUUCUUUAAGAUGUAGAUCCUUGUGGUAGCAGCGGGUCAGGUCCAAAAGACAAAGAUUAAGGUAAAGAUCACCACACUGUCAUCAAAUUGUUUUACCCCACCAAAGCGGAAUGUUGCUCCCAAGACAAUGAUCCAGAGAAUUGAAGGAACCAAAUCAAUAAUUUCAAUGAUCCGGCUCAUAAUGUUGUCAGCAGCGCGUCCAACAAAGCUCCCAGCAAUCGCGCCGUAAAUGGUGCCGAAGACCAUUGAAACUAAGGCUACCACAAUCGCAAUUCAGAGUGACUUGGCCAUACUGGCUCACAGUAAAGUUCAAAUAUCAACCCCUAAACCGUUAGUGCCUAAUAAUGGAUAGUAGUUUUUCAGCUCUGCUAGUUGGUAAGGCGCAAUGUUGUACUUAACGUUAGUAGCGAGUGGAUUGCUACUUGCCUCCGGUAAUUUCCCUACCAAAACACCACUUGAUUGGGCCACUUCAGCAAUCGAGCGUGCCGUAAUUUUCUCUACUUGAAUGUCACCCGCGCCGUUCCAGAGGUAUCGUGGUGGUAGGUUCUGUGCCAAAGCGUUGUUCGAUACUGGAGUAACGGCUGAAUAAGGUGAUGCUAAGGGUACAAUGAUGGCUAACAAAAUAAUUAGCACAAUCAGUAAAAAGAAGAGGAUUGCUCACUUAUUUUGGAACAACCGCUUCAUAAUUUCGACAAAGUUAGUGGUUGGUUUGCCAAUCAACUGGUCAGAGCGUUUUAAGACAUUAAUGUCUACCCGUUGAAACAGGCUUUGGUCAAAUUUUUGGUGCUUAUCCAUGGAUCGUAAUAAUCUUUAAACAUUUAGUUCCUAACAAAACAAAGUUAGCAGUUGGUUCAAUUUUAAGGGUGGUUUUUUGCUGUUCAGUUAAGCUAAUGGUAUUGUGCUUGUAAUCAAUUGCUUUGAGCUCUAACAGCUGGCGGUGUUGGGGCGAAUUGAACAACACAUUGUGGGAAUUAGUGUGGUUAAUCCGUCUUCACUUACGCAAUCAAGCUUGGCGUAAAUAAACAAACUUAAGCUUAGUUCACAGACUCACCCCACCGGCACUAGCAAUCCGAAUCCUAGGAUCCACUAGGACAUAAAUCAACUCAAUGAAGACACUUGCUAGUAAGGGAAUCCCCUGGAUGAACAUAAUGUUAAACAUCACGAGGUUAGUUUCGUUACUUUGCACCGAGUCAAUUAAGAUCCGUGAUACCCCCUGAACACCAAAUAAGGAUUCAAUAAUAAAACCACCCGAAAAGGCACCAGAGAUCCCAAAGACAAAUAAAGGUACAGAAGGAAUAAUUGAGUUACGGAAGAUGUGGUAAAGCGCUACAGCAAAAGUACUCAAACCUUUACUACGUGCUGUUUUUAUGUAGUCCUGGUUCAUUACUUCCACGACCUCAUUCCGUACCCGAUAAGUAAAGGCCGCUGAGGUGUAAAAUACCAAGGAUAAAAUAGGAAUAAUGGAGGCUAACAAGAAGUUACCAAAGUUAAAGUUAGCAUCAUCGAAGUUAAUAAAGCGCGGUGGUAAACGGAACAAACCAGCUGCCUUAAGUAAACCUAAACCAACCACAAAGGAAGGAAUCGAAACAAAUAAAACAACGAGCACGUUAAUUACCGCAUCAAUUAACUUGCCACGGAAUAAUCCGGAAAUCAUCCCGAAGAUAAUGCCCAACAAAGAGCCGAUAAAGAAAGAAAUUAAAACAACGUAAAGGGUGUUAGGUACCCGACCAAAGACAAUUUGGUCAAUUGUUUGGUUCGGGGAGCUGUAAUAAGUACCCAAACUACCUGAAAAGAGGGUUUGUCAGUAACGACCAUAUCGCACAAUUAACGGAUCGUUAAAACCAAAGGCAUCUAGUUGUGUUUUGACAGCCUCCAAAUCCUUAGAAGAGGUUGCUGAUAAGGGCGUUUGACCUGUGGAGUUAACCAAAAAGAAGACAAUGGUCAUCACGAUAAACAUCGCUAACACUGCCAAACCCAAACGUUUAAGAAUAUACUUGAACACUUUCGAAUACUAAUAAAAAAGAAAAAGGAACCUGGUUCUCAGGUCCCUCAGCAUGCUAAUAUUCUGGUUACCUGAAAGAUUUGAUGUAACCAGUCCAACUAAAAGUGCAGAUGGCUACAGGGAAACGCGAUUUAUAAUCGGUUUCCACUCGGAGUCAAACAGCAUUUUAGUCGCUAAAAACAUUGUUAGUGGUUCAAAACAUUCUACAAAAAAACGAUACUAGUAAGUACAUGUUAGGUACACAAACCACAAAUUCGAAGCCGCGUGAAUACGGCGGGUUAAUAGUAAGCACAAUUUACAUUGUGCUUUUCUUCGCCAUUUUGAAUUUAACCGUUUUUUUCAAUAAAACUAACAACAUUAACCUAAUUCUGAAAAACAGUUGUGUUGUUAGUUUUGUCGUUGUUUGAUUGCUUGUGUGUCUCCAAGGUAUAGUGCGCUUAAAAACCUGUGAUGGAGCACGGUACGAAAUUAGCAAGUUUAACCAAUAUCUAAAACUAGGUAGUAUAUACGCCAAGCCCAACAUUAGUUUUGACGAGUAUAAAGCAAAAAGUUCAUCCUACCGUAAACAAACCCGCGGGUUUUGGUGGAUGAACUUCUCGCUUUACCUUCUAGGUAGCUUAAUCAGUAUAGUAGUUAGUCUGCUCUAAAAACCAACGAACCAGAAGUUAGGUUUUGGAUCGUUGAGUUUGAAGCCCAUGUCAGUAAAGUUCAGACGCUUCACAAUCUUCGCAGCAUCUUGAACACUGGUGUCAUAAAUACCGUAUGGGAAGAUAACACUACUACUGUAAAGUUGUAAGGAACCUUGCAUUGGGAUUUCCAAAUUGAACUUAGGUCAAAUCUUAAACAAUCAAAGGUCAAUAGGAAUACCCAAGCGAUCAACCGUUAUCUUGGAAUUAAAGCUGGCCUCUAAAUAGUUGUUAUUGAUGAUCGUAUCAUCAAUUAAGCUUUUGUAAUCAUCUUUACUCCAAUUGUCGCCUAAUUUCAAUAGGUAACCCAACUGUGUUUUAGUAUCAAGUUGUUUUGGAGAUUGUUUACUUUGUUGUUUUUGAUCUUUUUCUUUAUUAAGUGCCUCAUAAAGUUGAAUUACAGGAGAUUUUGGCUCAGUAUUACCUGCUUCUUUCGUAAUGUUUUUGUCAACUGCUUUGAGUUGAAUGCCAAAGCCAUCAACAAAAGCAAAUGGAAUUACCCGUUGUUCAGGAUCAGAAAUGUCAAGUUCUAAACGUGAUGUGUUAUCUUCGUUUCGCGCAAACACUUGGAUGUUAUCUUUGAACUCGUAUUUCUUUUGGAAGAUUUGUUUGGUAAUGCUGUCAAACAUAUUUGUCCAAACAUUAAAGAAUGAUUGUGACAACUUCACCUGACCGUUAAUAGCUGGCGAUUUACCCUUAUACUCUUUGUUUUUUAAUUCAACUUUUACCUUAGUUGCAUCAAUUGUGGUAUCUACACCAAUAAUUUGAUAGCCAAUUUCGCUGUUAAUUAAAGAGUAGUAAGCUGGCAACACAUUGAGAUUUUCACCGCCAUACUUAAUGUCGAACGAACCACCUAGGGUGAUGAAUGAAUCAGUUUCUUUAACGCUGCUUAAAUCGUUACCAAAGAGCAUGUCGCCAAAGAGAUCACGAAUGGACUUGGUUUUAUCAAUAGCACUCUUAAAAGUAUUUUCAAUAGAUUCAAAGGCCCCAGGGACUACUCCUUUAGCCCAACCAUAACCAGGGAAACCUUCCUUGAUGUACUUGUCUUUCAUCGCUUUGUAGCUUUCCCCUUUGAACAAGAGUUUAUCUAAAGUUGUUUCUAAAUCUUUAGUGUCUGGCAAGAAUUCGAGCAUUGCCUUAAUCAAGCCAUUCUUGAUUUCAAAGUUGCCAAGUUCUACCUUGUAUUCAACAUCGAGUUUUUUAACCUUUAAGGUUGUUUCAGUUUCUUCUAAUUCAACAUUUUCGGUGUUUUUAACUUCUUUUAAGGUGAUUUUAUCGAGAUUGGUUUUACUUAAAGUGUUUUCACCAAUGUGUUUAAAGAGUUUUUUGAGCGCCUUAGCUUGUUCCUUUUUGUAAUCGGUAGCACCUUUAGUGUCCUUAGCUUCAGCCUUAGCCACUUCUACACUGCGGUUAAGUAAUUCAUUUUUAAAGAUGUAGCUAUCUAACAAAUCACCUAAGGCAGCUACCUUUUCCCCUAAAAGACUCUUUAAUGAUGUUACCAGUAGGGAAUCUUUAGUUUCAAUUUUUUCACCAUUUUUAACAGUACGCUUUGUUAAGAAGAGUUCGGCAAUCUUGUCAACAAAGUCAGCCUCACCAAAUAAAUCAAACGCACCUUCGUUGUCAAAUAACUCAGUGAAGAUGGCUACUUGAUCAGCCAUAAACGGCGUUGAUUUUUGGAAAUCAGCUAAGAAGUUCUUUAACAAGUUAGUCAAGAUACCCUUGUGUUUUUGAAUUAAGUCAAACACAUAGGUAUCCUUUUGGGUUAAUAACUCUUCAAUUAAUGGACUUAAAGCCGCGGUUUUUUCAUUCGUUUUAACUGCUGGAACGAUUAAGUCUUUGAAAGAUUGCAACCUUUCAUAGAGACCAUCAGAGUCAGUAAUGCCAUCAAACAAGACGUCCACUAAACCUAAAGAAGAGUUUAAUUCCGGAAUGGAAAGCUCUUUAAGUAGGUUUAAGAUGGUCUUUUUGUUGUCAAAGAUUAACUUGUAGACAGUUAUCUUGUUUUCUGCUUGACUACUACUUUGGAUUAAGUCCUUAACAAAUUUACCCAAUCCAGGACGGACUAAGUUAAACAGUUUUUCAAAAUCUUCUUUAACUUUAUCCAUUACCUUUAGGAAGGAUAAUGGUUGACCUUCUUGUUGAUUGCCAAAUUCUUUAAGGGCUUUACCCAUUAGCUCAGCGAUAAUUUUGGCAAUGUCAAAUUGGUUUUUAAUGUUGGCAUUAACGUCCUUCUUUACGUCUUCAGCCUUCACGUGGGUGUUUAGGUAUUUACCCUUACCUACUAAAUUCUUUUGUGCUUCAAACACAUCAACGCCAUUGUAAACGUUGCUAAAGGCGAGGUUUAAAUUCGUUUUGAACGGAUUAAAACUAAAUUUAUUGACAACCUUACCGUUUAAAGUAAUGUGGUCAAACAUAUAGUUUAAACCCAAAGUGUAAUCUGGUAAAGACAGCGGUAGAACUAAUAAUUUUUGGGCACUAGCAUUGACAUAGUAAUCAAAGCUUUGUUUGGAGUCAACUACAACCGAUACACCUUCUGGUAGUUUUAACAACUGAACGGAUUCGGUGAAGUUAGUAAAGCGGAAGAUAAAGUCUAAACUAGCCUUUUUGUCAGAUGAAAGGGUAAAGUUUGACCUGGGCGCACUUAAAUCAAAGAAACUUUGGUUUGGAUUAAACAGCUGUUGGUCAACCCAUUCCUGUAAAUCAGCGGUUAGCGCUGGGAAGGCCUUCGCAUCACUUAGGAAUUUAUCAAACUCACCUUGGAGUUUAUCCUUAAGCGCGUUCUUCGCUAAAAAGAGUUGUUGUGGUGAGGACUUAUAGUUGACUAAUUUAUCAGUCCCGUUUUCCACGGUAAUUCUAGUUGCCGCAGCUGGCUGUGCUUUUGGCAACUUAACACUAUUAAGACCAAAGCGAAUAUCUUGAAAAUCCGAUUGUUCUGAUUCAUGUUCUACUUGGUGGGUCUUAUUUACAAGCGUUAUAGUUGUAGGUACUACCACCGCAGUUGUUCCCACAGUACCAGCGACUGAUAGGGAGAUAAUAGCACUAAGCUUCAUAGUAAAAAUUGGUUAAAUUAAAAACUUAAAUAUUGAAAUGAAAAAAGACUAGUUACUAACAGUAAAAAGUGCCUGAAAGGUUGCAAUUCAGGUCAAUUUAGUAACUAGAUAAUUUCAAAGAAGAAAGUUUUGUCCUUAAACAAACGGAAGUAAUCGCUCAGUUUGUGGUUAAAGUAGUGUUGUUGGUCGAGCGUAACCUGGUGAUACUCUUGGGUUGUUGACACCUGGCGCACUGGUUCACUCUCCUCACGUUUAUUCUUUGUAUCAGUAAAGAGAACUAAAAAUUCGUUAAUUUCAGUUUCAAACAACACAACUGAGGAAGCUAACUUUUGGAAAGAGUUAGCCAUCUUUUGGAUGAUGUUGACAAAGACAAACAACGCAUAGUACCCGUUUAAGGAGUACUGGUUGCGUGUCUUGAGGCAACUGAUUAACUUGAACGAAAGGCUGGCAAACAGCUCGCCCAAGUACAACAAGACAAAGACAAUGACGUUUAAUUUAAUUAGUUUACGCAUUGCUAGCUCUUAAUUUUACCACGAAAUUGCUUUUCCAAUUCAAAGAUCGAGUCGCGGAUCUCAAUCGCUAACUCAUAGUUUUGGUUAGCUGCUGCUUGCUUCAUUUCCUUGGUUAGCUGCUUAAUUAAAGCAGCUUUUUGCUGCUCUGAGCUUUUGGUCUUUAACUUAAUCGGCUGGUUUAAGGUAAUUGGUUUUUGCACCGUCAUUGGUGUUUUGUGGUGUUGUUCGUUGUAAGCCAUUUGGAUGGUGCGCCGGCGUUGCGUUUCCUUAAUCGCCUUAUCCAUUUGUUCGCUAAUGGUAUUGGCAUACAUAAUCACCCGGCCAUGAACGUUUCGCGCAGCGCGGCCAAUUAUCUGGAUUAAACUGCGCUCAUCGCGUGGUAAUCCAGGAAUGUCAGCGUCAAAGAUGGCUACGAGUGAAACUUCAGGAACAUCUAAACCUUCUCGCAGUAAGUUAAUCCCCACUAAACACUCAUACUCACCUUUGCGUAAAUCCGUUAACAGAAUUAAACGUUCCAAGGCUUUAAUAUCCUUGUGGAUGUACGCUACCUUAAUGUUGCGCUCCUUCAAAAAGUCAGUCAGGUUUUCCGCCAUCUUAAUCGUUAACACCGUGACAAAGGUACGACCGUUGUGUUUUCUUUGGUUAAUGAUUUCACUCACUAGGUCUUCAACCUGGUUGUCCUUCGGUUUCACAAUCACUUCCGGGUCCAAGAGGUAGGUGGGACGCACUAACUGUUCGACCACGUUGUUGUGACUUAACUGAAUUUCCUCUUCCCUAGGGGUAGCGGAUACAUAAAUGACCUUGUUGAUUCCCUGGCGGAAUUCCUCAUAGGAUAAAGGACGGUUGUCUAAAGCUGAAGGGAGGCGAAAACCGUACUCAAUUAGGCUUUGUUUCCGUGAAAUAUCGGUGUUGUACAUCCCCUUAAUUUGCGGUAGCGUUUGGUGGGAUUCAUCAACUACCAAUAGCCAUUCACCUUUAGUAAAGUAAUCAAAGAUGUUAUACGGCUUGGAGUGCGGUGGGCGGUGUUCUAAAUGCCGCGCAUAGUUUUCCACGCCACUACAUACCCCCCAGGCCUUCAGAUCUGCUAAAUCGUGUUCGGUAAUCGUUUGUAAGCGCUGGGCACGUUCGGGGAAGUUUAACCGUUCAAAGUACUUUAAGCGAUCUUUGAGUUCGGCCUUAAUCGUGUCUAAGGCUACUCCUAAGUCAUUUUGGUUUACUAUGUACUCA
rnacentral:sRNA from 1 species